rnacentral:rRNA from 1 species
UACAGAGGUCCCGAGCGUUGUUCGGAUUCACUGGGCGUAAAGGGUGCGUAGGUGGUGAGGUAAGUCGGAUGUGAAAUCUCCAGGCUCAACCUGGAAACUGCAUUGGAAACUACCUUGCUGGAGGAUUUGAGGGGGGAUUGGAAUACUUGGUGUAGCAGUGAAAUGCGUAGAUAUCAAGUGGAACACCAGUGGCGAAGGCGAAUCCCUGGAAAAUACCUGACACUGAGGCACGAAAGCUAGGGUAGCAAACGGG